rnacentral:rRNA from 1 species
AAACUAAUUUAGUUUGGCGGCAUUUAAUUCAAUUAGAGGAAUUCGUCUCAUAAUCGACAAUCCACGAUAAAUUUCACUUUAUUUCAAAACUUAUAUACCGCCAUCUCAAGAAUUAAUUUAAAAAUAUUAUUCAAGAAAAUAAAUAAAAAGUUAGGUCAAGGUGUAAUUUAUAUUAAAGAAUUAGAUGAAUUACAUUAAACAUAAUUUAAAGAUUUUAAAUAAAUUCAUUUAUAUGAAUAAGGAUUUAAAAGUAAUAUUUAAAUAAUAUUAUAAUAUGAUAUAUUUAAUAAAUGUGCACACAUCGCCC